rnacentral:lncRNA from 1 species
UCUGCUCUUAAAAAAAUGUAAACAAAGUUCAUUUCUCUUUUGUCUGCCAAAAAAUUCCCAGGAGGAGCCAAGAUGGUGGAACAGCAUGGAAGCUUUUUGUGUGUCUCGUGUCCAUGAAAUACAGCCAGACCAACACUAAACCAUCCUACAUACCUAGAAACUGGAGGAUUAACACAACAAUCUGCACAACCUGAACCACGGAAUUCAGCAGGUAUGCGGCACAGAGAGGUGAACUUCGGGAGCAAGAAGCUGCAAAAGACUAACGUCCCUGAAUUGACAUAGUGCAAACUUCUGAAGACUCAACCAAAGAUUUGUGAAAAUGUUGGAGAAGAGAUAAAGCUCUUUCCUGGGGAAAAUGCUGGUUUCUCCUGCUGGCAGCAUUUCUUCCAGCUUCCCUCCACCUCAAAUUGUGAUGGGACAUGCCACCUGCUCCUCAGUCAAGAUUUCAUUCAUUCUAGAAAGAAGUUGCUAUUGUCGACGUCAAAGAGGUUACUGCCUGUGUUCUAGGAUUUUUAUUGUUUCAGGUCUCAUAUGUAAGUCUUUAUCAAUGUUGAAUUUAUUUUUGUGUAUAGUGUAAGAAAGUGAUACAGUUUCAUUCUUUUGCAUAUUGUUGUCCAGUUUUCCA